rnacentral:rRNA from 1 species
UUAUCGUAUAAUCGAGGUAUUGAGGCUGUCGCUGACCUUUGAAAAGGUCGUGCACGCCCCAGUGCACUCAUACAUCCAUCUUACACCUUUUGUGCAUCACCGCGUGGACCCCCCUAUUUUGGCUUGUUCCAAAGGGGGGUUCGCGUUUUAUACACACAUACACAUACAUGUAUAGAAUGUCUUUUGCGAUAAUGCGCAAUUAAUACAACUUUCAACAACGGAUCUCUUGGCUCUCGCAUCGAUGAAGAACGCAGCGAAAUGCGAUACGUAAUGUGAAUUGCAGAAUUCAGUGAAUCAUCGAAUCUUUGAACGCAUCUUGCGCCCCUUGGCAUUCCGAGGGGCACACCCGUUUGAGUGUCGUGAUAUUCUCAACCUUUCUUGGUUUCUUGACUAAAGAAAGGCUUGGACUUUGGGGUUUGCCGGCCUCCUUUGAAGCCGGCUCCUCCUAAAUGAAUUAGUAGGGUUUGCUUUGCUGAUCCUUGAUGUGAUAAUAUGUACAUCUUGGGUUUUGCACUGUCACUUUUGGAUCCUGCUUCUAAUCGUCUUGCAAAAGACAAUGUUCAUAAUAAACCUUGACCUCAAAUCGGGUGAGACUACCCGCUGAACUUAAGCAUAUCAAUAAGCGGAGGAAAAGAAACUAACAAGGAUUCCCCUAGUAACUGCGAGUGAAGCGGGAAAAGCUCAAAUUUAAAAUCUGGUGGUCUUUGGCCAUCCGAGUUGUAAUUUAGAGAAGCGUCUUCCGCGCUGGACUGUGCAUAAGUCUCCUGGAAUGGAGCGUCAUAGAGGGUGAGAAUCCCGUCUUUGGCACAGAUGCCCAGGGCUUCUGCGAUGCGCUCUCGAAGAGUCGAGUUGUUUGGGAAUGCAGCUCAAAAUGGGUGGUGAACUCCAUCUAAAGCUAAAUAUUGGCGAGAGACCGAUAGCGAACAAGUACCGUGAGGGAAAGAUGAAAAGCACUUUGGAAAGAGAGUGAAACAGUACGUGAAAUUGUUGAAAGGGAAACGCUUAAAGUCAGUCGCGUCAACCAAGACUCAGCCUUGCCUUGGCUUGGUGUACUUCUUGGCUGACGGGUCAGCAUCAAUUUUGACUCUCAGAUAAUGGCAAGGGAAAUGUGGCACCUUUUUAGGUGUGUUAUAGUCCUCUGUCGGAUGUGAGGGUCGGGAUUGAGGAACUCAGCACGCACCUUUGGUGUCGGGGCC